UACGAAGGGGGCUAGCGUUGUUCGGAAUUACUGGGCGUAAAGCGCACGUAGGCGGAUCGAUUAGUCAGGGGUGAAAGCCCAGGGCUCAACUCUGGAACUGCCUUUGAUACUGUCGAUCUGGAGCAGAGUAGAGGUGAGUGGAAUUCCGAGUGUAGAGGUGAAAUUCGUAGAUAUUCGGAGGAACACCAGUGGCGAAGGCGGCUCACUGGACUCUUGCUGACGCUGAGGUGCGAAAGCGUGGGGAGCAAACAGG
rnacentral:rRNA from 1 species